GACACCCAGUUUUAUGUAAUAAGCUGCCGCUGCACAGCGCUAGUUAACAUUUUCAAUUGUCCGUGUUACUGGAAUGUAAGGGAACAGACAAAGUUUGGCAUCGAAUAGGGCAAACAGCUUGCAGAUUCGUCAGAUGAACCAACAUUUGGUGCGAAUCGCAGAGAGUGAAGAAAACGGUGUUUGUUUCUCCGGUGUUCCGGUGGGUUAGGAGUAUUGAUCGGAAUUUAUCUAGCGUAGCAUUUCUUCGCCGCCAGUGCUGCUUCGUAACAUUCAACCAGAUCAUUGCAGCCAGAAACGGCCACACCGGCGUCCCAGCGAUGAAGAAAGACGAUAAGCUGACGAAGGAAAAGCUGGACCGCAAAGUGAGACACCCCACUGCAUCGUUUUCCACAAAAUCCAUCAUCAUGAACCUGAUAAUAGCAUUUUUUCUGUACUUGCUGCGACGCACGAUAGAAGCUGGUGGGAAAAGUGCGAUCACAAAGUAUAGUAAAUUUAUCAAGUAAACUUUGUUGUACCGACACCAAAAGCCAACGAAACCAGCGGAAUGCAAAUAAACUUUUUUAUAUGAGAUCUGUCUUCU